GAGUUUGAUCCUGGCUCAGGACGAACGCUGGGCGGCGUGCUUAACACAUGCAAGUCGAGGGGGCUCAGCAAUGGGUCACCGGCGAACGGGUGCGUAACACGUGAGCUACCUACCGAGUUGUGGGGAAUAGCCGGCCCAACGGCCGGGUAAUACCGCAUACGCUCUCUUUGGGGCAUCCUGAGGAGAGGAAACGCUUGCGGCAAUUCGAGGGGCUCGCGGCCUAUCAGCUAGUUGGUGAGGUAACGGCUCACCAAGGCGAUGACGGGUAGCUGGUCUGAGAGGAUGGCCAGCCACAUUGGGACUGAGAAACGGCCCAGACUCCUACGGGAGGCAGCAGUGGGGAAUCUUGCGCAAUGGGCGAAAGCCUGACGCAGCGACGCCGCGUGGGGGAGGAAGGUCUUCGGAUUGUAAACCCCUGUUGCCCGGGACGAAUGCCCUCUUUAGAGGGAGUGACGGUACCGGGUGAGGAAGCACCGGCUAACUCUGUGCCAGCAGCCGCGGUAAUACAGAGGGUGCGAGCGUUGUCCGGAAUCACUGGGCGUAAAGGGCGCGUAGGUGGCUUGCCAAGCGUGUGGUGAAAGCCGGAGCUCAACUCCGGGUCUGCCAUGCGAACUGGCAGGCUUGAGCACGGUAGAGGCCAAUGGAAUUCCGGGUGUAGCGGUGGAAUGCGUAGAGAUCCGGAAGAACACCGGUGGCGAAGGCGGUUGGCUGGGCCGUAGCUGACACUGAGGCGCGACAGCGUGGGGAGCAAACAGGAUUAGAUACCCUGGUAGUCCACGCCGUAAACGAUGGGCACUAGGUCCUUGGGGGAGCGACCCCGUGAGGGCCGGCGCUAACGCAUUAAGUGCCCCGCCUGGGGAGUACGGCCGCAAGGCUGAAACUCAAAGGAAUUGACGGGGGCCCGCACAAGCGGUGGAGCAUGUGGUUUAAUCCGACGCAACGCGAAGAACCUUACCUGGGCUUGACAUGCUGGGGAAACCCUGGGGAAACCUGGGGCCUCCUUCGGGACUCCAGCACGGUGCUGCAUGGCUGUCGUCAGCUCGUGU
rnacentral:rRNA from 1 species